UACGAAGGGGGCUAGCGUUGUUCGGAUUUACUGGGCGUAAAGGGCGCGUAGGCGGUCCUACAAGUCAGAAGUGAAAGCCCUGGGCUUAACCCGGGAAUUGCUUUUGAAACUAUAGGACUAGAGUAGGGGAGAGGUGAGUGGAAUUCCCAGUGUAGAGGUGAAAUUCGUAGAUAUUGGGAAGAACACCAGUGGCGAAGGCGGCUCACUGGACCCUAACUGACGCUGAGGCGCGAAAGCGUGGGGAGCAAACAGG
rnacentral:rRNA from 1 species